rnacentral:lncRNA from 1 species
GUGUUAGACGUCUUAUCCCAUCGGGAAGAGAAAUCACCGUUUCCGCCGCCCCUUCGGGGAUACGAAACGUCACGGCCUCUGUGCCACGUGGCACGUGGCCAUUGGGACGGAUUCGUUGGAGCGGAUUGAGGUGACGUGGCUCGAUCUGAAGAUGGGUGUGCCGAACCGUCGGGCCGACGGACGGACCGGAUGACACCACGUGGUG